GAUGAACGCUGGCGGCGUGCCUAAUACAUGCAAGUCGAGCGAACGGACGAGAAGCUUGCUUCUCUGAUGUUAGCGGCGGACGGGUGAGUAACACGUGGAUAGCCUACCUAUAAGACUGGGAUAACUUCGGGAAACCGGAGCUAAUACCGGAUGAUAUUUUGAACCGCAUGGUUCAAAAGUGAAAGACGGUCUUGCUGUCACUUAUAGAUGGAUCCGCGCUGCAUUAGCUAGUUGGUAAGGUAGCGGCUUACCAAGGCAACGAUGCAUAGCCGACCUGAGAGGGUGAUCGGCCACACUGGAACUGAGACACGGUCCAGACUCCUACGGGAGGCAGCAGUAGGGAAUCUUCCGCAAUGGGCGAAAGCCUGACGGAGCAACGCCGCGUGAGUGAUGAAGGUCUUCGGAUCGUAAAACUCUGUUAUUAGGGAAGAACAUAUGUGUAAGUAACUGUGCACAUCUUGACGGUACCUAAUCAGAAAGCCACGGCUAACUACGUG
rnacentral:rRNA from 1 species